GGGGCUGUAACGGUUUCGACGUUUUGACGAAAGUCACGCUGUGAUACAGGCCGAGAGGGAGUCCACUCUCGUUAAUCCAGGCUCAAAACAAACGUAAGUGCGAACAACAUCGUUCCUUUUGCUCGUAAAGCUGCACCUGUUGCCGCUUAACUAAAACUCUUUUAGCGAGCGUUCAUAGUUUGACUCCGUUAAGGACUGUGGACAAAACCCCAACGGAUGCGCUAGCAGGCGUUCUCUAGUGAGCCUGUCAGCUAAGCGUUCACUAGAGCAUCCCACCGUCCGGGAUAAGUGACGGUUCCUGCCCCAAGGAUUAGCGGGGCUAAGCCUGUGAAUGAGUGGUGUGUUAAUACUCAAAGCGGACACGGGUUCGACUCCCGUCAGCUCCAUUC
rnacentral:tmRNA from 1 species